rnacentral:rRNA from 1 species
AGCAGCCGCGGUAAUUCCAGCUCCAAUAGCGUAUAUUAAAGUUGUUGCAGUUAAAAAGCUCGUAGUUGAAUUUCGGGAUCAAUAUAUCGGUCGUGCCUUGGUACGUACUGGUAUCAUUGGUUUCUCCUUUCUGACGAACCAUGAUGUCAUUAAUUUGGUGUUAUGGGAAGUUAGGACCGUUACUUUGAAAAAAUUAGAGUGUUUAAAGCAGGCUUUAGCUUGAAUACAUUAGCAUGGAAUAAUGAAAUAGGACGUUCGAACCUAUUUUGUUGGUUUCUAGGAUCAACGUAAUGAUUAAUAGGGAUAGUUGGGGGCAUUAGUAUUCAAUUGUCAGAGGUGAAAUUCUUGGAUUUAUUGAAGACUAACUACUGCGAAAGCAUUUGCCAAGGAUGUUUUCAUUAAUCAAGAACGAAAGUUAGGGGAUCGAAGACGAUCAGAUACCGUCGUAGUCUUAACCAUAAACUAUGCCGACUAGGGAUCGGAUGAUGUUAAUUUUUAAUGACUCAUUCGCGCCUUACGG